GACGAACCGUGCGAACGUUGUUCGGAAUCACUGGGCUUAAAGGGCGCGUAGGCGGGUGGUCAAGUCAGGGGUGAAAUCCCCGGGCUUAACCUGGGAAUGGCACUUGAAACUACGGGACUGGAGUAUGGCAGAGGGAGGUGGAAUUCCACGUGUAGCGGUGAAAUGCGUAGAGAUGUGGAGGAACACCGAUGGCGAAGGCAGCCUCCUGGGCCAAUACUGACGCUCAUGCACGAAAGCGUGGGGAGCAAACAGG
rnacentral:rRNA from 1 species